UCUUCCCAUGAGUAUUGGUAACCAAUUAAGAAAACAGCAAGAGAUGGGUGCAGGCGGCAAGGCUUUCCUCAUCCUCUGCAUUCUCUUAUCCAUUCCUUCUGAGGCCUUGGUGGUGUCUGAUACUCUAAAACCUCCACAAACACUACAUAUUGUUCGGCAUAUAAUUGAGUCAAGACGCUGUGGGGCUGUGUGCCCAAGUAAUCCAGUCCAUGCUCCCAAAGGAAGUUGCAGACCUGCGGGUAAACACGGCUGCGGAAGGCCUCCGGCUCCGUGAAUUUGGACUGUUAUUCUUAUAGUGUUUUUGGCAGCUAUGAGGGUAAUAAAGCAAUAAAUUGGGGCAUCUCUCUACAUGUGAAUUCUCACAACUGGGCUCUUGGAUGCGCAUGUGUAAUAUGUAGAUGAGCGAAAAAGAAAAGGUGCAGUUUCUCGUUGUAAUGGUGUAUGAGAAGAAUUAAUGAUUGUGUUGCUUCAGUAUGGAUUACUUUGCCUCUGUAGUUAAUGAUAAUAAAUUCAUAAUCAAUACUAUCCUCUUAUAUAUA